UCUAGUAUGGCAGAUAAAUGUCUUAAAUUUAAGAUUUAAUUAUAAACAAAAUUUUGCUAGAA
rnacentral:tRNA from 1 species